rnacentral:rRNA from 1 species
UACAGAGGGGGCAAGCGUUGUUCGGAAUUACUGGGCGUAAAGGGCGCGUAGGCGGCCUGCUAAGUCGAACGUGAAAUCCCCGGGCUCAACCCGGGAACUGCGUCCGAUACUGGCAGGCUUGAAUUCGGGAGAGGGAUGCGGAAUUCCAGGUGUAGCGGUGAAAUGCGUAGAUAUCUGGAGGAACACCGGUGGCGAAGGCGGCAUCCUGGACCGAAAUUGACGCUGAGGCGCGAAAGCCAGGGGAGCAAACGGGG